UUUAUGGAGAGUUUGAUCCUGGCUCAGGACGAACGCUGGCGGCGUGCCUAAUACAUGCAAGUCGAGCGAAUGGAUGGGAGCUUGCUCCCUGAAAUUAGCGGCGGACGGGUGAGUAACACGUGGGCAACCUGCCCUGUAGACUGGGAUAACUUCGGGAAACCGAAGCUAAUACCGGAUAAUCUUUGGAGCCUCAUGGUUCUAAAAUGAAAGUUGGGUUUACCUAACACUACAGGAUGGGCCCGCGUCGCAUUAGCUAGUUGGUAAGGUAACGGCUUACCAAGGCGACGAUGCGUAGCCGACCUGAGAGGGUGAUCGGCCACACUGGGACUGAGACACGGCCCAGACUCCUACGGGAGGCAGCAGUAGGGAAUCUUCCGCAAUGGACGAAAGUCUGACGGAGCAACGCCGCGUGAGCGAUGAAGGCCUUCGGGUCGUAAAGCUCUGUUGUUA
rnacentral:ncRNA from 1 species